CUCUAACAAAAGUUCAAGAGAGUACACGUGUUCAAUGUGGGAACUUACUAUUCAUACAGAGGCAAAAUUAUAUUGUCAUUUUUAUACAUUAAAGUGCACAUUGUUGCCCAUAACUAUUCACAAAUUCUUAACAAAGUUGUGUGGCACACCUGGGGAAUAGGUGUUGGAACCAAUGCACCACCUGGUAGUCUGUGGUGGAAGCCCCCAACUUCCAAGCAAUAGUAUGGAAUAGGGAAUCCACAGGUUCAACAGAUCAGUUAGAAUUCUAACUGUUGAACCUAUAGAUUCUCAAUUGGAUACAAAAAUCACAAAUUCUUUUCAUUUACCAUUUAGUGAAGAAGUUGUUUGUGCAUUCUACAAAACUUUGGAAACUGGUCAGCCAUGUGGUUAACCC